rnacentral:rRNA from 1 species
UACCGAGGUCUCAAGCGUUGUUCGGAUUCAUUGGGCGUAAAGGGUGCGUAGGUGGCGCUGUAAGUCGGGUGUGAAAUUUCGGAGCUUAACUCCGAAACUGCAUUCGAUACUGCGGUGCUUGAGGACUGGAGAGGAGACUGGAAUUCAUGGUGUAGCAGUGAAAUGCGUAGAGAUCAUGAGGAAGACCAGUGGCGAAGGCGGGUCUCUGGACAGUUCCUGACACUGAGGCACGAAGGCCAGGGGAGCAAACGGG